rnacentral:pre_miRNA from 1 species
UUUUAGAUUUGUGUCCAACUUUAACCCUCCGUUUUAUUUGAAAAAAAAAAUAUAAGUAAUAUUUUUAUUGUUAUUAGAUGGUAAUAUAUGAAUAGUACUUCAUGCAUGACUUUUUUUUUACUUAUUCAUAAAGAUUUUGAAUAAUACAAACAGUCAAAGUUGGACACAGAAAUC